CUGUGCAUGGAUUUCUCCAUUCCACCCAUGUCUUUUUCCUCUGGUGAUUCUGUUGUGUCCUGAUAUGGUUUGGCUGUGUCCCCACCCAAAUUUUAUCUUGAAUUGUAACUCCCACAAUUCCUGUGUGUCAUGGGAGGAACCCAGUGGGAGGUGAUUGAAUUAUGGGGGCAGGUCUUUCCUGCACUGUUCUCAUGAUAGUGAAUGAGUCUCAUGAAAUCUGAUGGUUUUAAAAACAGGAGUUUCCCUGAACAAGCUCUCUUUGCCUGCUGCCAUCCAUGUAAGACGUGACUUAUUCCUCCUUGCCUUCCGCCAUGAUUGUGAGGCCUCCCCAGCCAUUCAGAACUGUGAGGGUUCCAGACUCCAGAGUCUCCCUUUACCUAGUUCUUGGGAGUCUAGUGCAGCUGAAGACGAGGUACUGCGGAUGAAGAGGAAGACGAGGUACUGCGGAUGAAGAGAAACCCAGAUGAUCCAGGCACAUUUUAUAGACAAGGCCUCAACGACCCCAAAGGAACCUUUGAAAUCACCCUUUUCCUGGGUUCACGACGACUUGUAAACGAUACCAUCCAUCCCUGCUUAUUCAUAGUUAUUAAAUACCAGAAUAAAGAGAUUAGAGCUCAUGAGGUGCUUCGUCCCCAUCACUCGGGCUGCUUGGCUGCAUUUAUGAUGAGAAGGCUCUGGGUGUUUAAUAAAGUAUCUGAUAUGUCUAAUAAAAUCCUCCCAUGGCCCUGCUGAUGUUACUAUAAUAGCUUCAUGUCACAUGCUCUUGUGCUAUUGAGCCAGUACCAGAACAUAUUUUAAAUUCUUAUUAUGUCUAUUUAAUUUUUAUUUAAAGGAAAUUUUCAAGGUUUAAAGCAGGUACCGAGGUACCUAGGUGUGAAGACCUAGAAAUGUGCUGUAAUAUUUAUCAAAAUAGUAAUGGAGUGAUUUAAGGAUAGUAUAGGAAUAAGCAACUGUGCAUUCGUGGCUUAUCUAGUUAUAGAUCUGUACUGUUCCCCUAAGAACUGCAAUUUGUGAAAUAAUGGCUUCUCAUU
rnacentral:lncRNA from 1 species